UACAGAGGUCUCAAGCGUUGUUCGGAUUCAUUGGGCGUAAAGGGUGUGUAGGUGGCGCCGUAAGUCGGGUGUGAAAUUUCGAGGCUUAACCUCGAAACUGCAUUCGAUACUGCGGUGCUUGAGGACUGGAGAGGAGACUGGAAUUCAUGGUGUAGCAGUGAAAUGCGUAGAGAUCAUGAGGAAGACCAGUGGCGAAGGCGGGUCUCUGGGCCGAUACUGACGCUGAGGAGCGAAAGCGUGGGGAGCAAACAGG
rnacentral:rRNA from 1 species